ensembl:lncRNA
GGAUUUAGGAUGCUUAGUGAGAUGGAGCUGUGGUCGGAUCAGCUGAUCCCGUUCUUUGAGCAGGGAUAUAGCAUGCAGGCGGACGGACGUGCAUAAGGAGGAAGCAGAGGGGAGCUGGGGGAGUGGAGAAGGGAUGACUUUCCUCUGAUGUCAAAAAUCCCAUCAUUCAGUGCUCGCAGGGAGAAAGACAAGAGGAGAAGAAUGUGGAGAGAAAGAGGGAGAGAGGGAGAAGAAAUGAAGGGAAGGGACGCGCUCAUUUUUUCCCCUAAUUCUGCAGGGUAACGUUUACCACCCUCAUACAUGGAGAAAUGAGCCUGAUCUCGAGUGCCAAGUUCUGAGCAGCCUUGCAGCCCCAGGGACUGCUUACAUCCCCAUCCCGAUCUGGACUUGGUUAGUACUGUCUUGAUAUGAAUAAUCAGGUAGAUAAAAAUGGUCAAGAAACUUACUGCAGUUUCUCCAGGGCUCUCUUUGUGUUAUCUUUUAUUCCCGGCAGUUUUAAUUUUCUGGUCAUUGUCUGUGUUUGUCUGAGAUGUUAGAUACGCAGCUCUCCUAGGAUUUCUGCAGUGUGGUGAGGAAGGACCAGAGCUGGCUGUGAGUGAGUGUGAUCGAGCAGCAGAUGCAGGAGGGCUGGAGUUGCCUGCAGCACUGUCCAGGACUGCACUGGGGGAAAUCAAGACCUGAGCAGAUCCUUUUUUAUUUCCAUUCAUUCUCAGGGUGGUUCUUCUCAAACCAAAAGGAGCAGUCAGGUAUAAAAGGGAAGCGAUGCUCGUUAGGGCAGUGUGGGUUCCCAUUCCGGAGCACGCAAAGCCUUCAGCUGGACCUGAAAGCCGGGCAGUGUGCUGGGGUUUGCUCCAGGGCACCACCCGCAGCAUUGGCUUUUCUGGUGCAUGGCAGUGCUGAAUUUGCAGACUGUAGGUUUGGAUUCCCCCUGGGAAGUUCUCAUCUCAUGAAAUGUGGUGCACAAAGCAGAGAAAGGCGGGUGCUGGCUGGCUGUCAGUGGGAGAGGGUUGGAGAUGAAGAAGUGGAAGGAGGGCUUAAGGAGAGCGAUGGAUUUCCUGCGCCCAAAUAACAAAGAAGAGGGAAGAAAACCAACACAAAUGUAAUUUUGUCCUGGCUCAAUGAUGCACUGUCAGUCACUGAGGGAUGAAUUGUGCUGUGCAGCAGUAGUCACCUUCCACGAACGCUUCAGGCUUGAUUUAAUACCCCUCUUCCUAAAAGUAGAAGAAAGCACUCCUCGUCCAGUUGGGCCUAGCAAUAUGGCAGCGCACAUUCGAUGCUGAACCCUUGCUCCUCCUGUUCUUGGUCUGAAUUUUGGGCGCUGGGAGCUCUGGAAAAGCUGAAUGCUUUUGAAGGUAGGUAUGGGAGUCUGAAGCGUAGGGAUAUAAAUGUAGGCAAUCAAUUUAGUAGAUAACCUCUGGACAGAUGGUGAAAGUUUAACAUCUCUGUUGCUGGAUGGAGCAAGAGUUGCAUAUAACUCAGUUAAAGCACUAUUCCAAUAAAGGGAAAUUGUAUUUAUUAAUUGCAUGCUUAGCAGGGUGUGCAGGUUGAAGUGUUUUAUUUUAAGAGCCUACACAAGAAGUGGGGGAACUUUUGAAAGCGUCAAAAUAGCAAAAUGAUUUUCCACGUGCUGACUGCUUCGUUUUAUAGGGAAUACUCUGAAGAGAGAGGAGACGCAGCAAGUAAAAGUGCGGAUCCACUUUGAGCAACAAUUGCUCUGACUGAUUUUGUGCACAGGCUGCACGUGGAGCUCCCAGCAGCCUGCUCUGUGGCCUAAUUCCCCACCAGUUGCCCACCCAAUAAAACUUCAUUAAUGGGAAAUGUUAGUUACGCCAGCAAGAAAACUUGCAAACUCUGGGGGAAGGAGGGGAGGUUUCUUGCUGGCAACUUUGCUCCAUGAUUCUCUUUGAGGUCUUAUUAGAAAAAAUUCUAAAGCAGUUUAAUAUCUGUCUCUGUCAUUGUAG